rnacentral:ncRNA from 1 species
UCAAUAGCGAUGAUGGAGAAAAGUAAGCACCACUCUUUUUUAGAGAGCCGGCGGCAGGUGAAAGCCGGUAAAGAGUUUUGCUGAAUUCCGCUCCGCAAGCUGCACCUUUGAAAAGGUGCCGGGAUUUUCAGAAUCCCGUUAAACAAAUUAAGUAUUAAUUAAGGGUGGCAACGCGAGUCCUCUCGCCCCUUUU